CUCUGCGAUCAGUUUCUUUCCCUUCGUUCGUGGAUCGUUCGUGGCUUCGAUUGUCCGUUUUAUUACAUACGAAACGUUGGAUAUAUUUGAAAAUUAGUUAAAAAAAUAUUCUUUUCGAAGUUUUCGUUUUUAUUCCUCUGUGUUCUUUUGGAAAUGCGUGGAGAGAUAGCUGAGAAAAGAAAGUGAAGGAAAAUUUCGUAACGUAACCUAAUCUAAAAGAAUGAUAAUACGAUGAACGCGUCGUUCGAAAUAAAAUUUUCUAAAUGCAAAAAGUUAUUUUCCAAAGAUAUAAAAUGCUUGAAUAUCGAACAAUCAUUUCACGUGACAAGAUCUCGAAUAUUAUCCAAACGUGUGUAUCGUCAACGAGAUACAUUUUUCCACGAAGAAUUUUUAUGAAGAAGGAAGAAUGGGGGAUUUUCACGGGACGAAAGAGCUCUUUUUUCGUUCGGUUACGCCACUGAUUGCGUCACGAGACCAUUUCGUCCCUUUCAUCUUCACUCCACGUUCGUUGACGUCGUUGUGUCUGGACGAGUCCUCUCGACCUCCUCGACAGUUGGUCUUUCAGGUUCACAGGCGGGAACUAAGCACAGAUUCACGACAUUUCCGCGGCAUAAUUUUCUCUUCCAUACACACCUUAAAUCCGCGCCGUAUUUCUCUUCCUCGCCGUCUCUCUAUUUUUUCCCUUUCCUUUUUUUUUUUUUUUUUUCGAUAUUUUUAAUCCACGAACCGCAUAUAGGUCGGUCGGCUUUUCGGCCUGUUGCACACGUCAAUUGAUAGCGUUGUCGUCGUCGACAAAUCUAUUAUUCGAAAGUGGUGCAAAAGACAAGCGAUACGAUUUGACAAUAUUUUUUUCAAUUCGGAAAAGACGAAUGGACGAGUGUCGAGGAUUAAUAGAAAGGUAAAUGUUUAUUCAAAUAUUUAAUCCCGUCAGUUCGAGCUUGAGUUUCGAAUCGGAAAUAAAUUUCAUUCGUCAAUUUUUGCGAUUUUUCCGACAAUUGAUAAUUCCUUUACGAGUAAAAUUUUCUAAAAUUUUGUGUAAUUAUGCGAUUUUUCACGAUUAACAGAUUGUAAAUUAUCUCGAGAUGUAUCGAUAUUUUAAUAUUUAAUAUAAUUAAAUUAUAAAACUGAAUUACUGUACAAAUAAAAUUAGUUACAUUCAUUAUAACGAAAAAGUUCAAUUUUAUCUUUAUUCUCAACAUAAAAUACACAUGUAAGAAGGAAAUACAUAUCAAGUAUAAAUUAUAAAUAAAUAGGUAGAAUUAAAAUAUUAAAUACUAUCAUUUUUUUUCUAUCCAUUGAAGUAAAAAUAAAAAUCACAGCAGGAAAACUUAACUCUACUUCUAUUCUAUUUUUAUUUUUUACGUCAUUUGCUUAAUAAAAUAGAGGGGAAAAAAAUGCAUUUCAGAAAUCGCAAAUUAUAAUUAUUAUUUUAAAAAUAAGAUAAUAUUUUUCAUAUAAGUUUUCAUACGAAUCAUCAUUUCCAAUAAAUUUCUUUCUUAUUUUUAUCUUAGCAAUCUUUAUUCCUUUUUUUCUUUUUUAUUUUGCUCUUGUUUCAAAACUUUUGUUUCAAAAUUUUUAUUUUAAAAAUAAUCGAGGAUAAAAAAUUGCGAAUAAAAGAACAAAAAAUACGUAAAGCGAAAUCCAUCCUACGGUUUUUCACUUUUCUUCCCGUUUUUCGUAUCUCUUUCGCUCGAUGAAAUAUUCUUCUCCCCCUCCCCUCCUCCCCAAUCUAUCGAUGAUCCACAUUUUAUUUUUAGCCCUCGAAGAAUACUGACGCGAUAAAUUUGCUUUAUCCUUAAGGAUUUUUCUCAUUCAUCGAAAUAUCACGCAUUAAAAUUAAAAUAAAUUAAUCGUUUAAGAAUAUAUUUGUAUUAAAUGUGCAAAUAAGCUGCUCUUCCUUUUUUUCCUCGAUUAGCUUCGAAUUACUUCUGCAUUCGGACGAUUAUGCAGAUAUACUUCCUCCAGAAAAAUAUUAAAAAUAUUAGAAUAUUUAGAAAGGUACCUUUAAAAAAUAUCCCAAAAAGAAUAUAUUAUGGUAGUGAAAGUUCUGCUAAGGUAGCAAAAAAUAAUCUGAUACGUAUUUCAAACAGGAACAGUGAAAAUAGUGAUUUUACUUCGUCUACGAAAACGUAAGCGACUGAAGACGAUAAGAUGAACGCUCAGCCAAACCGUGAGACGUGUGAUCGACAUUCCUGUUGCUUGUGACGCGCUAUUGCAACAUCGUAAUUAGCUGUGCAAACAAGUUCCUUUUUCCACGAUCGUAAUUCGAUUACUUCCCGUUCGUGGCGCCACCUGAAACAGCGUUCUUUCGUUUUUAAGAAGAGUUUAAGAAUCCCCAACGCUGUGCGACGAUUUCAUGCGGUACGACGUGCGAGAAGCAUCUGCAUUCUAGCUUUGGAAAUGGUGCCCUGAUUUAUGCGAUAAAAUCUUGAAUUUGGAGAAAGAAAAGGGAGAAGAGAAGAACUUAUUUGCACGUUUAUUCAGUAUUUUCUUUUAUAUUAUAUUAGAACCAAAUACGAAAUAGAAAGAUACACGUCGGUAAUAACUCCUCUCUUUCUCACUCACCGCUUAUCUGGAUUCCCAAACUUUUUUCGUUUACGAUUCGUUUAAUUCGCAGCUACUACUAUUACUCUCCAACACGGAAUAAAAGGUGAGGCUGCUUUUAUCCAAUUGCAAAAGCGUGAUAGUUUUAUCACCGGGAUGAAAUUAUGCUCUCUUCCCUCUCCCUCUUUUUUCCCUUCCCGUUACGUUUCCAACCCUUGUUCCGGAAUCCUUCUGGAAUUCCCUUAGUAUCCAGGUUAUAAAGGUUAAUCCGAGGGAAAGGGAAAGGGAGCGUGAAAAGGAGUUUUUCGUUGUGAGAAAAGCGAGGAAAGUUGAUUGGCCGCCACGCACGAAGUAACUUAAUUGUGAGUUGUUUCGGUAACAAGAGGAGGGGGAUGGAUGAGAAUCCCGGCGGAGAGAUCAAUUUUAACGAGGGAAAAGAUUCGAAAUUUCGAGGAUUUCAAGAGCGGAGUAUCGAAAAGAUGUAUAUUUUAAGAUCCCUCAAGUCGGAAAUCAUUUGGCGCGAUAGAAAAGAAUUUUGGUUUAUAAAAAUUAUGUAAAUGUGAUUAUUUUUUUGUUUUGGAUAUUUUAUAUAUUUUUUUCUCAUAAAUGUUUUAAUAAUUUUAUUAGCUCGAAAGGUAUAAAAGAUGUAUCGAAUAAUUUUCAUUUUUAAAAUUUACUUGACGAGAGCUUGAAUUAAAAAUUGUGGAUCAAAGAAAAAAAAAAUGACGAAUCGUAAAUUUGGCUCGAAACACAUAAAGCAAGAAGUUUGUCGUUUCCUUUCUCACGUAUCCAAAGCUAGAAAUCAUUUUUAUCGCAUUGCAUUAUGUAUACACGAUGCGUCAUUAAUAACAGGACUCGAUUAAGAAAUUUUUCCAAAGAAAUCGCAGAAAAGCUCGAUUCCCUGGAUUUUAAAAUACGUUCAGAUAGAAACCAAGAUUCUGAUCUGGCAAAAUAUCAGCAUGUAUCUCACUAUGAUUUAUCAACUGUUUCUACAAACGCAUCAUUAACAUCCGAAAUAUACGAGCGAAUAAACGCCAUGCUUACUGUCACAAGCGCAACAAUUUCAAGAACCUUGUUGUUCAAAUUCACAUUCUAUUCUAAACAUAAAAAAAUUCCAAGAAGAAGAAUUAUCCAAAAUCGAUCGAAGACUCGCGAAAAAUUGAUAUGCAUCGAGCGCGAUAAAUGCGUUUUAUUAUUCGUUCUAAAAUAUAAAAAAAUUCCAAGAAGAAAAAUUAUCCAAAAUCGAUCGAGGACUCGCGAAAAAUUGAUAUGCAUCGAGCACGAUAAACGCGUUCUAUUAUUCGUUCCUAGAAGAAUUAUCCAAAAUCGAUAUCGUAUAAUGAAAACCAAAAAGCUUUGUUUUUCCACGCAACUCGACCGCGGCGAUCGUCGAUCAACGACUCUUCCUUUUCCUCCCUUCUUUAUCCACUGAUCAACUCGUGGUCUUACUCGAGCGCACGAGAGACAGACAGACAGAGAGAGAGAGAGAAAGAGAGAGAGAUAGAGAAGGGGAAUGGAAGCAAAUAAGCGCGUGUACCAGCCGAUGACCUACUAUUGACGCUUUGUGGGCUCUGUUUUCAAGCCUAUGUCCCGGCACAAUGGAAAGUAUAGCAACUCAAGACUGGCCUGAAAGGAGGUAACAAAAAAAAAAAGAAAAAAAAAGAAAGAAAGAAGACAGGGAAGGAGGAGAGGGGGGAAAAUAGAGACAGAACGGCAAGAGAAGAAAGAAAAGGAGGGACACGACGGUAAGGUUCUUUCUUCCACGACGAAAAAACUGUGUCGUCCAUUGUCGACCGGUGGAACCCAUCGUGGAACAAUCGCGAUAAUGAGAAAGCUACGCAGCCGAAGAGUUUCGCUGCUUUUCUCUCUUCACUCUCUCUCUCUCUCUCUCUCUCUCUCUCUCUCUCUCUCUCUCUUCGCCGUGUAACAGCCUUCCUCCGCAUUUUUUUUUCCUUCUUCAUAUCCUCCAACCUCUCACCCCCUAGUCUCCCCCCACGGAAUUGCUGGGUUUCCUUUUGUCUUCUUGGCCUGUGAUUUUCAUCGUCGUCGACUUUGGCACCGAUUACUUUUAUACGAAAAAUCGAACGGGGUCUAAGAGAGAUUUUCUUUAUCGAUCGAUCUUGAUUUCUUGACUCGGAGAAGAAGAAGAGUGGUAUGGAUUACGUUCGAAUUAAUCCAUUAAAUUCUUUUGGAUAAGAUCGCGCGUUGGUCGUUUUAGAGUCGGUCUCCUGUUUGAAGAAAACGGUGUGCAUGCGGAUUCUUUGGAUAAUAGAUUGUUCAAAUACAGAUGUUUAUUAAAAGAUUAUAGUGAUGUUAAAUACGUAUAAUAUUAUAUAGUUUAUUUCGAAUAAUUAAAUCGUUUAUAUUUUAAUUCGUUUUUUUUUUUUACAUAUAUAAAUUUACUGAUAUUUCAUAGUAUUAGAAUUACAAUUUAGAAUAUUUGUUAAUUUUGAUUUAAUAAUAAAAAGAAAAGCUUGUACUUUGGAAAGGUAUUGAUUAAUAAAAAAAGAAAAUUUUGUAUAUCUUUCCUUCGUCAAAGUAAUCUUUAAAGAAUUUAACAAAAUGUGUAAUUUAGUUUCUUAAAAAUCGUUUCGAUUUCAAAUCAGUCGUUUUAUUAUUAAGAUUAAAGAAAGUCUUCUAAUGCUAAAAAUUCUAAAGGGGAAUAGAGAAAGUGGUUAAAUAGAGAAAUUCUUUUUUUAUAUAAAAGCGUUAUUAAUAAUUACGCGUGUCGAUGCAAUUGUCGCCAUCUCGAAUAAACACGUAAAUAAUAGUAUUUAUUAAGUAAUAACAGUAUUUAGGUAAACGAGGAAUUUCAUUGCAUUUUCCACUCUUGCAAUCCUCUUGGUUUGCGUCAGCAAACUUUCUUUGAUCUUAUAAUUAAAAUUGAAAUUGAAGGAUAAAAAAAAAAAAUUCUAACGCGAGUCAAAUAUUCAACAAACUGUGCGACAACUUGGAUACAAUUCGAAACAAUUUUUAUAAUAUACUCUCUUAAAUAAAAAAAAAAAAAUUGAAAUCUUACAUAUUGUAUUAUUUAAAAUUUUUAUCAAUCUUAUUUACUCUUCUGUCACGCGAUAUAAUUAAUAUUAUUAAUAUUUAUUUCUAGCAAUUUAAUGUAUUUUCGUGAUGCACUCAUUCAAAAUCGUAAAAAUAUGAAUAAUUUUUGACACAUCCCUUGGCAGAUAUAAAACUUAAAAUUGUUUCAUCGAUAAUCAAAAAUUCUUAUUGUUCAUUUUCACAUAUAUGAAUAUCAUGUAAAAUUUAUUCUCUGGGAAAAAUAAUUUUUUCGUUAUUCGUUAUUCCUCCAUAUAUCGGGCAUUUUGAAAUAUAUCGGUGGACAAGGACAGCGAAUAUAGAAUAUUUCAAGAUGCAGCACACUAUAGAGUGAAUCUUGGUCAAAGAAUAGACGACUUGGCCAAGUUACUGCUCCGUCCCUUAUAGGUACCACAUGUUUGAAAAGUCAAACAACACAACACGCAAAACCUGUAUGUAUAUCACGUAUAUACAUAAUGUCUCGUUUCAGUUAUUCCAACUUGAUGUUGAAAUAAUUUUGUUCGGAAUUUUACUUCGAGGAUUGAUUGACAUUAUAGAAUAUACUACAUAUAUUCUAAAAUGAAAGAAUAAAAUUAAAAGAAUCAAGAAUCACGAUAAAAAAGACGCUGAUUAUUCAAUCUAACAAUGAAUGAGAAAAUAUCAAAUGAGGAAAAUUAAAUUUAUGAAUACGUUAUAAAAUAUAACGUGAUAUUAAAAUGGAAUAUAAUGGAAGACAAAACCGUUUGGACAAAGGAACUUUUGGACAGUGGAAUGUAUUAUAUAAGUUGUUACCAAAUAACAGUAAAUAGUUUCUUUUUAAGGGCACGUGAAAGUCAACUUUGUUUUUUUUUUCUUUUUUUAAAUAUCAGAUGAAUUAUUGUAUUUUAAAAAUCGUUGUUUUAAGGAUAACGAUUUACGAAAUGAUUUCUUUUAUGAAAAUUAUUGAUGAAAAAAUUAUUACAAACGAAUGUGCAAUUUGUAAUUAAUUUUCAAUUUCAAUAUUCUUAUAAUUUCUGUUUUUUUUUUUUUUUAAUAUAUUGUGGAAUUACCAAUGUAAUUACAGAUACUUUUCUACAAUCUAACCGCUUUCUAAUUUCUCAACUAUUUUUGAUUUCGUUUUAAUAAUUAAUACGAAACGCAUGCUUAUUUUUGAAUAUAAUACAUAUAUAAUAUGAAUAUAUUCAACUUUACUUUCAAAUUUAAUUUUAUUUUCAUUGUUUAAUUAGUGAUAGAAAGGCAUCUAUAUUUUCAUCAAGGUAUUUAUUUUUAUUGAAAAUAUAGUUAGCAUACGAUUUAAAUCAUAGAAUGUUUAGAUAUUAUACAAGUUUUGACUUAACAAAGAUACUCAGUGACAAAAUUGAUACACAUAUUAAAUGAUCUUUUCUGUAUUUAAUUUACAUAUAUAAAUAACUGUUUUAAAAUAAAACUAAUUAAAAUUAGAAGAAGAAGAAAGUGAAAAAAUUUUUGUCACCAGAAUAUUAUUAUAAUUCAAUUGCGAAUUAUUAAUUAAAAAAAAAAACAGUUAAUCAAGAAAAAAUUAAUUUAUUAUCUUUACUAUUUCAUUCAAAUUAAUAGAUAAGUUAUCUUUAACAGUAAUCUAAUUUAUACCUUUGCAUUACGCAAAACUAGCAUUUUAGCAUAUCCAUACUUCACGCAAAUUUUCUUCAAGUAAUCGAAAGAAGAAGAAGAAAAAAAAAAAAGAAAGAAAAUGAAAAACUGGAAGGAUCAACUAGGAACGCUGAAGGAUUAAAAUAAGAGCGACGAUCUAAAUAUAAUCUAAAUAUACGUAUGGGCAGCGAGUUUUCGCGCGGCAAGGAUUAUAUAAAACAGUUUCAAAAAGAAAGAUGGUGGAAUACAUCGAGCGACGAGCGAACGGAAGCCAGACGAUAGUUCUAAGUUCCAAGUUUAGCCAGAUGACGCGGUUUUAGCAAGGAGACACACAGGUCCGUUUCGUCUGGUAUGCCCGUUUCUAUAUAAUACUAAACAUAGCGUGGAGAGCGCGAUUCUCGUCUUUUUCUUGCCACCUUUCCUUUCCCUCUUUCUUCCUGCGUUUAACGCGAAAUCCACGAAAAAUCGAUACCUCUCCCAACUCGCUAGUUUAUGAAAAAGUAACAUAAAGAUUGUACUGUGUGUGUAUGUGUAUAUAUAUAUAUAUAUAUAGAUUCAAGUUAUCGCCACUUCCUCAAACGUCAGAAACACUCGUUUGGAAGCUCGGCUGUUCGAAACAGCGUCGACUCUGUAAAGUGUCCUACACAGAUAAGAAAAAAUAUGGAGGGGGAAAUCUCACGUGACCUAUGUUUGAUCUUCUUCGCGGAAAUAUAUGAAAAUAAUAUCCAGAAAUUUGUUAUAAAAUAGUUAUUUUUUUUCUUAUGUUUAUUUUUUUUUAGGAAGGGGGGGAGUAUCUAUGUAUCGUUUUUUAACACAUUGAUGAGUAAUUAUUUUUUAAUAAUUAUUUAAUGAAUGAUCGAAAAGAUUCGGUAUAUAAUAUUUGACAAGUUUAAUAUUCUAUUAAAAGUCAACGAGCGUAUUCGAAGCGUACUUCUAUUUAUUCUGUUUACAUUAUUUUCACUUUCUGCAUUAUUUGGCUCCGUUUCUCCACUUUUGAUUGCAUUCUCGUUAAAUAGUCGUUUUUUAUCCCUUAUUGUAAUUUUUUUAAAUCUUCUUAACGAAUAUUAUAUGUGCACAAUGAUAUAUAUAAACACACGUUCUAUUAUAAUUUUUAUAAUCGAAAAUAAUUGAAUUAAACAAUACCCAAUUAGUCACAAUUAGUUUUCAUCACGUUGUUACAAAUUUAUUUAAAUAUAAUUAAAACGUAUAUUUGUAUAUUUCGAUAAUUUGAAAAAUCGAAAAUUCUCGAAUUUUUAAAUCAAAUUUUGUUCGCGUUUCCUAUAACAAUUUUUGGAAAUAUUUUAUACAACGAGGAUAAUUUCAGAACACUGAAAUCUGGAUAUUUUUUUUAAUUUAAAAUUUUACGAAUUUUUAUUCACCUAAAAAAAGGGAAAAUUAUAUAACGAAACUUGAAGGAUUGAUUUCACCUACUUCACGAAAUGAUAUUCCAUUAAUGAAAAAAAAAAAUUGUUCCAUAAUUGAUGAUCCAUAAUUUCACAAUGUCUCAUAUAGAACGGAAUUAUCGUUGAUGAACAACGACAAGUUGAUUGACAACUUAUUAAUUGAAUGUAAAGUGUACGAAGGCUUCUGAGCGGUUGGCUCUUUAUGCUUAUGGAGCCAUAUGCACGAGUCCAAUAUCUAAAAAGGAAUCAAUUGUAAUGACACGAAGCAAACGGAAUAAUGGUCGAAACAAACAAGCAGGGAAUAGUUAAAAAAUUGUGGAAAGGGGGACGUGUAAAUAUCUCGCCACAAAGCUUUAAAAUCAUUAAAAAGAUUUCAUUGUUCGACGUCAUAUAAAGUUAAAGAAUAAACGGUUAAAGCUAUAAAUCAUCGAUUUAUAGCUGCAUAUAUUUAUAUACAAACGUCGAAUUUUUUGCAAAGUAUCUUCAACUCAUUAACUCGUCGUGAGAGAGGUUUGUGAAAAACCUGUAACAACUUUUAAAUGUUAAUAUAAUUUUUCUGUUUUUCAAAAAAAAAUUUGAUAUAUAUUUGAUAUAUAUGAGUAUUUGUGCUCACACAUUGUCGAGAUUGUAUAGAUAAAUAAAUGCAAAAAGAUAAGAAUAAUAAAAUAUUUAUUAUAAUAAAUAAAAAUCCAAGCAAAAAUAAAUGUGAAUAAUCAUAUAACAGAAUUAAAAACUGAUUCAAAUAUUUUUGCGAGUUUAUUUAUUUUUACUUUUUAAUUUAUUUCAAAUUCCAAUAAUAACUGCAUAUAAUGAUUGAAUAUUACGAUAUUUCUUAUAACACGAUUAAUUCGUUCUAUAUUUAAAUCAUAUUAAUCAAAAUUAAUACAAAAAGAAUGUGUUGGAAACACAAAUUUGUGCCAUUAUCUAAGUUUAUUAAAUUGUAACAUGUGCGAUUAUUAAAUAAAUCAUAUUAUAAGAAUGUAUUGUGUUAUUGGACAACUGUUGCAACUUUCACGAUCGACAAUAUGGUGUGUUUGAAAAAGAUUUGGCAAUUGGCAAUAAAUGCCAAUACACAUAUAUCUCUAUCUCCAAUAUAUUUCUAUCUCCUAUAUCAAUUUCAAUAACACAAACGAUUUGGCAACAGUGUAUCAUAGCAAUAUGCGAAUUGAAAAUGAAAAAUUGAUAUAUUAUACGAAUUUCACUUCGAUUAAAUUUGCUCUGUACUUUAAUUUAAAUCCACGUGAUUCAAAACUGAAAAAGCUAUCUCAAGAGUUGUCAUUUUGGAACAAUGAGUAACAAUCCAGAAGAGAUCGACCGACUGGAAUGAUAAAUUUCGACGGAAGUUUUUUCAGCAUUGUCACCAGGAUUGGGAACAAUGUGUUACGAUUGUAAAAAUUUCUCCAAAAGAACUAUUUCAAUGAAGAAUAAUAAUAUAUAUUUUUCAGAAAGAAAA